UACGAAGGGUGCAAGCGUUAUCCGGAUUCACUGGGUUUAAAGGGUGCGUAGGUGGGUUGGUAAGUCAGUGGUGAAAUCUCCGAGCUUAACUCGGAAACUGCCAUUGAUACUAUCAAUCUUGAAUCAUCUGGAGGUAAGCGGAAUAUGUCAUGUAGCGGUGAAAUGCUUAGAUAUGACAUAGAACACCAAUUGCGAAGGCAACUUACUACACAACGAUUGACGCUGAGGCACGAAAGCGUGGGGAUCAAACAGG
rnacentral:rRNA from 1 species